GCUCAGCCUCCUUUUGAGUUUUAUGUUUAUGGGAAUCUUACCUAUUUGAUGCAAGCCUUGGGGCUGCCCCCCUCUUAGUUGCCUCCUAGUCUCGGUUUGAAGGGUGUGGAAAUCUAUUGUUGCCUUAAAAAGGCCCUUGGGCAAGUUGUCCAAGCUUGGUGUCUUAUGGAGCAUCAAUCGAGAGGGAGGGUUGAGGGGAAGAGAGAAAGAAGACUUCUUCUUGAAGCUCUUGUUUUCUAUAUUACUUUAGUAAUUUCCGAGAUUUGUAUUGUCCAUUUCAUACAUGUAAGCAUGUACUAUUAGCAUCUUCCUUAAUCAUGUAAUUUGCAUCUCCACAUGGAAUUUGUUAAUGGGAACAUAUCUUUUACUUCUA